UAAGUAAGGAAAUACUUUGCAUGUUUUACAAAUGGGCAAACUAAAGCCCUACUAGUAAGUACCCUGUCUGCUAGUAAAAGGGGGAAUUCAAUAUUCAAACUCUGAGCAAUAGGUUGGUAAAUCUUAUAUUCUAUCUCUUGCUACUCCACAGAGUUGUUAUUUGUGAUCCAGGACUCAGGAUGGGAGCAGGGUACAGCUGGAGAGGUUUGAAGAAGUGUGUCAAAGAGAAGCAAAGAAAAAUCAAGAACUCUUCCCAAGAGACACAAGAUCUGAGUCUGAGGAGAAGCAGGAAGCUAGCCCCAAAACCAGAGCAUGAACCCAGCAAGUCAGGCUCAAAAGAAGCCAAGACUGAAACCUGAAUAAGACGUGCAGAAAUGACUCAUCACUGCAGUCAAAACUUUCUUCUGGGGAUUUAACCUACUUUUCUAUUUCAAAACUUGUGGAGAUGGAACCCAGUGCUUCUUCACCCCUGUCUUGUCUCCAAGAAAUAACCCGGUGGCACUUUAGUAAUAUAUUACUAUACUACGAAGUCGUCUCCAAGACUGUUUGCAAAAGCUGACUGUGCAUAUAAUGAACCAGAACUUGAUCAUUGAAAUGGAAAUCAUCACACCUGCUUCCCAGGAUGCUUGGGAGGACUGGAAGAGAGGCAGCACUUACAAGCUUUAUAGAACUCCAGCAUGCCAUGCAAGCAGGUGUACCAAAGUUGUGGAGAGUGGUCUCCACUCUUAAAUUAUCAUUCCUACUAAAUUAGCUUGUAAUUUAAAAUAUGCAAGAACAAGUAAGAGACAUUUUAAAAAGAGUCUUGUACUGAAAUUGCUAUUGUUUGAAAAUACCCAUCUUCCUCAGAGGGAUGAGCACAAUCUUUCACUUAAGAAAAUAAGUCAUAAAUUUCUUUAUGAAUCCAUUUAAACAGCUCAGAGUAAGAAUGAAAAGCAACUGGCCAGCAAAGUGAGGCCCUUGAUCGACGCAAGCAAUAACAAGACGAGGGGCAGUUAAGCCAAUGGAAUCAGGAUGAUAUUAAAAGCAAUUUCCAUGCUAGGCAUGGUAGCACACACCUGUAAUUCCAGCACUCUGGGAGGCUGAGGCAGGAGGCUGGAAAGCUCAAGCCCAACCUGGGCAACUUAGUGACUUAGUGAGACCCUGUCUCAAAAUUUACAAAGGGAGAGGGGCUGGCUAUCUAGCUCACUGGUAGAGCAUCUCUGG